UAAAAGUUUGAUUCUUGCUUGAGAAUUUACUUUAAAUUGAUUUUGAUAUGGAGGUUUUUGCGUGUAAUAAAAUUAUAUUUGAGAUAUAAUUUUAUUUAAUUCCCAGUUUAUAAUUUUAGUUUUAUUAAUUAUGUUAGAGCUAGUUAAAUUUAAUAUAUCUGACCAAGUUUGUGCCAGCAGUCGCGGUUAUACAAUAGGAUAAUGUAAAUUUUUUCGGUUAGUAUUAAUUAUAGUGUGUUAAAUAAAAAAUCUAUUUUGUUAAGUGAAAUUUCAAUAUAGGGUGUUGUUUGGGUUUAUUAUUAUACGAAAGUUAAAUUAAAAACUAGGAUUAGAUACCCUAUUAUUUUAGCUGUUAAUUAAUAACCUUAUUAUUAUGAGUUAGGUUCUUUAAAUUAAAAGGAUUUGGCGGUAGUUUAAUCUUUCCAGAGGAACCUGCCCUGUAAUUGAUAAUCCACGUAAGAUGUUACUUUAUUAUAGUUUGUAUACCUCUGUCAUUGAGUGUUUCGUUAGAAUAUUCUCUGAUUUCUUUUAGGAGAAAAAUGUUAGGUCAAGGUGCAGCAUAUUAAAGAAGAGGUGGGUUACAAUUAAUAUAUUAAUGGAUUAAUGAUUGUAAUUAUUAUAUGAAAUUGGAUUUGGAAGUAAGUAGUAUUAAUUAAUACUACUGAUUUAGGCUCUAAACUAUGUACAUAUCGCCCGUCACUUCCAUUUACAGGUGGAAUAAGUCGUAACAAAGUAGGCCUAUCGGAAGAUGGGCCUGGGAAGU
rnacentral:ncRNA from 1 species